rnacentral:rRNA from 1 species
CGCGUAGGCGGUUAUGCAAGUCAGAUGUGAAAUACUUCAGCUUAACUGAAGAACUGCAUUUGAUACUGCAAGACUAGAGUACAGGAGAGGGAAAUGGAAUUCCCGGUGUAGAGGUGAAAUUCGUAGAUAUCGGGAGGAACACCAGUGGCGAAGGCGAUUUCCUGGCCUGAUACUGACGCUGAGGCGCGAAAGCGUGGGGAGCAAACAG